CCUACGGGGGGCAGCAGUGGGGAAUAUUGGACAAUGGGGGGAACCCUGAUCCAGCCAUGCCGCGUGUGUGAAGAAGGCCCUCGGGUUGUAAAGCACUUUCAGUGAGGAAGAACGCCUGGUGGUUAAUACCCAUCAGGAAAGACAUCACUCACAGAAGAAGCACCGGCUAACUCCGUGCCAGCAGCCGCGGUAAUACGGAGGGUGCGAGCGUUAAUCGGAAUUACUGGGCGUAAAGCGCGCGUAGGUGGCUUGAUAAGCCGGUUGUGAAAGCCCCGGGCUCAACCUGGGAACGGCAUCCGGAACUGUCAAUCUAGAGUGCAGGAGAGGAAGGUAGAAUUCCCGGUGUAGCGGUGAAAUGCGUAGAGAUCGGGAGGAAUACCAGUGGCGAAGGCGGCCUUCUGGACUGACACUGACACUGAGGUGCGAAAGCGUGGGUAGCAAACAGGAUUAGAUACCCCUGUAGUC
rnacentral:rRNA from 1 species